GAGAAAUGUCUAAGAAACGAAAGAAGGCGGCAACAAAAGCAGGAAGCGGAAGCCGGAGUCCAGCACGGAAUGCCUCCUGGUACAAACAAAAGCGACCAGGAGGGGGAGCGCUGGCCCGGUCAGAGGGACCAGGAAGCUCCAGGUCGUACUCUGAAGGGAUCCCGUAACGAGCCCUUAUCAGAAGAAGUUCGUCCGGAGUCGACGAACAAGGAAUGGCGCCCGGUGCGAAAACCGGGCGAGACCCUGCCCCGAACGCGGGUUCGUCCGUGGAGACAGGGGCCUGGGGGUUGGAAGCAGAAGAACUCCCAGAACUUACGGGGGCAGAAGAAUCGGAAGACAUUUUUCUUUGGGGGAGAACCUAAAGGGCCCUAGAAAAGCAAGCCGAGAAAGGAGGGAGACGCCGGAAGUCAACUCGGGAGAAGACACAAAAAAGGGGGAAGGAGGAGAAGACCCUAGGCGGUAAGAAGGAGAAGGUGGGCACUAACCUAUCUUGCUCUGGGGGCCUGGGGAGCGAGAAACGGAAGGCACCUAUGGCUCGAGAGGGCGUUCGCUAAAGCAGACUCUCGGGAGACGACAGACGCCAGCAAGAAAUCAGAAGCGGAGUGGGGCGCCUGAAGGGGGGAGGAUGGGUUUAAAUAGACCUUGGGAUCCGGCGCCAUAAUGAUCUCGAAUCCCCCCAGGCCAGUCCGCAUCCGACACGUGUCCCACUCCCCAUGGCAGACGGCUGAAGGUGGCUGGCGGUUGGCAGGGUCAUAAUUGCACCGUACCUAGGCCAGCGUACCUGCGGGAUAUUCGAAGCAUCCCCUCGUACCGCCCCAACUCGAAAAGACUCCGGCACGCGCUCAUUUAAUACCAAAAUAUCUGGGAGCGGCGGGGCG
rnacentral:lncRNA from 1 species